rnacentral:rRNA from 1 species
UCUUUAGUUUUUAAUUUAAGAUCAGGCCUGCCCAUUGAUAUUUACAUAUUAAAAGGCUGCGGUAUUUUAACUGUACGAAGGUAGCAUAAUCAUUUGUCUUUUAAUUGGAGGCUAGAAUGAAUGGUUUGAUGAAAAAUAAACUUUCUUUUUUUUAAAUUAUUUGAAUUUAAUUUUUUAGUUAAAAAGCUAAAAUUUUUAUAUAGGACGAGAAGACCCUAUAGAAGUUUACUAUAUUUAUAAUUUUAAUAUUUAUGUUUUUAAUCUUUUUUUUAAAUGAUAUAGUUUUGUUGGGGUGACAUUAAAAUAUAUUUAACUUUUAUAAUUUAUAUUCAUUAAUUUAUGUUUUUUUGAUCCUUUAUUAUAGAUUAAUAGUUUAACUUACCUUAGGGAUAACAGCGUUAUUUUUUCGGAGAGUCCUUAUU